rnacentral:rRNA from 1 species
UCCAGACUCCUACGGGAGGCAGCAGUGGGGAAUAUUGCACAAUGGGGGAAACCCUGAUGCAGCGACGCCGCGUGAGCGAAGAAGUAUUUCGGUAUGUAAAGCUCUCUCAGCAGGGAAGAAAAAAAUGACGGUACCUGAGUAAGAAGCACCGGCUAAAUACGUGCCAGCAGCCGCGGUAAUACGUAUGGUGCAAGCGUUAUCCGGAUUUACUGGGUGUAAAGGGAGCGUAGGCGGCGCGUUAAGUCUGAUGUGAAAACCCGAGGCUCAACCACGGGAGUGCAUUGGAAACUGGCGGGCUGGAGUGCCGGAGAGGUAAGCGGAAUUCCUAGUGUAGCGGUGAAAUGCGUAGAUAUUAGGAGGAACACCAGUGGCGAAGGCGGCUUACUGGACUGUAACUGACGUUGAGGCUCGAAAGCGUGGGGAGCAAACAGGAUUAGAUACCCGGGUAC